GUAGACCAGGCUGGCCUCGAACUCACAGAGAUCUGUCUGCCUCUGCCUCCCGAGUGCUGGGAUUAAAGGCAUGCUCGCCACCAAUGCCCAACUUGAGCCUCACAUUUUUAAUAGAUGUGGAAUUCUGAAUUUGAAGUUUUCUUUUUAAAAAAUUUAUUUUUCUCUUAUUUGUAUGAAUGUUUUGCAUACAUGUAAGUACACCACUGUGUGCAGUGCCCUUGGAGACCAGCAAAGCACAUUGGAUCCUCUGGUAUUACAGACAGUUGUUAGCUGAAAGGACAGCAAGUGUUCUUAACCACUGAGCCUUCUUUCCAGUCCCUAAAGUUAUUUUCAUAGUAGUACUUGAAUGUUAACUUUGGCUGCUAACUUGAAGGGACAUACACCUCUAGGUAUGCCUGUGAGUGAUUCUUUUUUAAAUAUUAGGUUAGCUGAGGUGGGGAGACCUGUCCUAAAUGUGGUGUAGCCACUGCAUGGGGUGGAGUCCUGGCCUGAAUAAAAGGAAGAAAGGGUUAACAGCAGUAUUCAUCUCUGCCUCUCACCUGGGGAUGCAGUGUGACAGCUGCCUCUAGCUUCUGCCCCCAGGAUGGACUAAAGCACUUGGGCAGGCUGUGAGCCAGAAUAGACCCUUCCUUCCUUAAGUUGUUUUUGUCAGGUAGUAAUUAUACACUGUUGCCUAAUUUCUUCCUGCAUUCACUUUGUGGAUAAUUAUUUUUCUUACUGAACAUUUUCAGUUCUUUUUUUUUUUUUUGUACAGUGAAUUCACUCUUAUGUAGGGUUGACAAACUAUAUGAUUAAAAUCUGUCUUUACACCUGUUUUGGUACAGUCUGUGAGACAAGAAUACUUUUAUCUUUUUAAAUUUCAGAGAAAAAUCACAGGAAUAUUUUGUGGUGUGAAACACUGUGCAAUUAGUACCUUUGGGUUUAUUUUUAGAGUUCUAUUGGAAUACAGUGAGAAACAUUUGCUCAGGCAUUAUCUGCAUCUCUUACACAGUUGAAACAGGUCCCAUAAGCCCUGAAAUAUUUGUAAUGGGUAGAAAAAAAAAAAGCUGAUUCUUGCUUCCAUGCAUCCUUUUGUUGCUUCAAUAACUAAAAUUCUAGAAAAUAUUUCCUGCUGUUUUCUAGGGGUGUUUAAAAACCCCCAGCAUUUCAAGUACAAAUGUUUUCAACUGUGUCCAUUCCACUUGGUAUCAUGCUGCAGUCUUCAUUAGAUUUUUUCCUGCGUCUGUGAGGUGACUCAGUGCUAAAAGAGCUUAUUUGCAAGUCAGUCAACCUUUGUUUGCUCCCCGAUCCCGCAAGGGCAAGAAUCUGUCUGAAAGUUGACCUUUGAUCUCUACCUGAGCACCACAGCAUAAGAAUCCUUACAGUCAUGCCCCGCCCCCACAGGAAAACAAAUUUCCUCAUUUCUAAAACACUAGCUGUAGUCUUUAAGAGCACAUGUGUUUGUUUGUUUGUUUUCAAGUCAGGUUUUCCCUGUGUCCUGGAACUUGCUCUGUAGACCAGGCUGGCCUCAGACUCACAGAGGUCCUCCUGCCGCUACCUUUGGAGUGCUGGGACUAAAGGCAGGCGUGUGCCAUCACAGCCCAGCCAAGAGCACAUUUUUUCAUUCCUCAGAGCACUCAUUUUGAUUUCCUGUUUUGAUUUUUGUAUUGACUUCUUCCAAAAGUGAAAGUCCUCACAUUUGCAUUUUAUUGGGAUUUCGCAGCUGUCUGGCAUUAGUUCACUAUCUUUGGAGCUGGGAGCAGACUGCUGCCUCUGUCUUACUGGUUGCUUAGGUAGGGGCAAGUGGGAUUGCUGGUGUUGUCAAUCUUAGGGUUGGGAAGAUGGUCUGCUCUGUGCUGCUGUGUCUUUCAGUGGCAGACCCUUCUCUUCUAGUUCCCAUAUUCUUUGCCUUUGUCUUUCUAUAGGGACAAGAUGGGGUAUACAGAGCUGGACCUGUGUGAAGGCUGCUUUUGGUGUCUUCUGAGUACUAGGUGUUAGUCAGAUUCAGAUUUAAAAGGAAGAUUGGUGAUGGUAUACUCUACACCUACAAAAGAGAUACUGAAGAUGCCAUGGGCAUGGUAUAGUGACACAGGAUCCUAAUCCCAGUACUGGAGAGGCUCAGGGAGGAUCAACAAGUUCAAGGAGGCUGAACUGUUCGACCACAUCAGGGAGCUCCCUGGUCUUCUGGAGCUCAAGGGCUCAAGAUGACUCACCAGGUUGCUGAGAUAUGAAGAGGGCUGGAUGUGUGCUCCUAGUUUCAGGUGAGUUGCCUAGGAUUGCAAAAUUCUAAAUCCUGCCAGGGGCCCUUCUCACCCAGCUACUUGUUUUUGGCUCUUGUUUCAUGUCCUUGUCCCUUUAGACCAAGACAUGGAAAUGCUUCCUCACUACUGCUCAGUAUGAGGGUCUGCAUCCAUCAUCACUUGCUUUCCUUAAACCCUUUUAUGUCUUCUUAGACUCUUUACAACUACCUAGUUUGGAUAUGCUUAUCUGCUUGCUGUGUUCUCGGAAUUCAUCUUCUAUAUUAAAUGACAUAUAUAUUGGAUGACUUGUCAGACACCAUAAUCUGUAAC